rnacentral:rRNA from 1 species
UUGAACGCUGGCGGCAUGCCUUACACAUGCAAGUCGAACGGCAGCACGGGAGUAAUCCUGGUGGCGAGUGGCGAACGGGUGAGUAAUAUAUCGGAACGUGCCCAGUCGUGGGGGAUAACGCAGCGAAAGCUGUGCUAAUACCGCAUACGAUCUCUGGAUGAAAGCGGGGGACUCGCAAGGGCCUCGCGCGAUUGGAGCGGCCGAUAUCAGAUUAGCUAGUUGGUGGGGUAAAAGCUCACCAAGGCGACGAUCUGUAGCUGGUCUGAGAGGACGACCAGCCACACUGGAACUGAGACACGGUCCAGACUCCUACGGGAGGCAGCAGUGGGGAAUAUUGCACAAUGGGCGAAAGCCUGAUG